rnacentral:rRNA from 1 species
GUCCUACGGGAGGCAGCAGUGGGGAAUAUUGCACAAUGGGGGAAACCCUGAUGCAGCGACGCCGCGUGAGUGAAGAAGUAUUUCGGUAUGUAAAGCUCUAUCAGCAGGGAAGAAGUUGACGGUACCUGAGUGAGGAGCCCCGGCUAACUACGUGCCAGCAGCCGCGGUAAUACGUAGGGGGCAAGCGUUAUCCGGAUUUACUGGGUGUAAAGGGAGCGUAGACGGCAGUGCAAGUCUGAAGUGAAAGCCCAGGGCUCAACCCUGGGACUGCUUUGGAAACUGUGGAGCUAGAGUGCUGGAGAGGG